rnacentral:rRNA from 1 species
GACGAACGCUGGCGGCGUGCUUAACACAUGCAAGUCGAACGGAAAGGCCCUGCUUUUGUGGGGUGCUCGAGUGGCGAGCGGGUGAGUAACACGUGAGUAACCUGCCCUUGACUUUGGGAUAACUUCAGGAAACUGGGGCUAAUACCGGAUAGGAGCUCCUGCUGCAUGGUGGGGGUUGGAAAGUUUCGGCGGUUGGGGAUGGACUCGCGGCUUAUCAGCUUGUUGGUGGGGUAGUGGCUUACCAAGGCUUUGACGGGUAGCCGGCCUGAGAGGGUGACCGGCCACAUUGGGACUGAGAUACGGCCCAGACUCCUACGGGAGGCAGCAGUGGGGAAUAUUGCACAAUGGGCGGAAGCCUGAUGCAGCAACGCCGCGUGCGGGAUGACGGCCUUCGGGUUGUAAACCGCUUUCGCCUGUGACAAAGCGUGAGUGACGGUAAUGGGUAAAGAAGCACCGGCUAACUACGUG